CCGGCUUACCAACCCAAUGCAAACUGCGAAUACCGAAGAAUGUUAUCACGGGAGACACACGGCGGGUGCUAACGUCCGUCGUGAAGAGGGAAACAACCCAGACCGCCAGCUAAGGUCCCAAAGUCAUAGUUAAGUGGGAAACGAUGUGGGAAGGCUCAGACAGCCAGGAUGUUGGCUUAGAAGCAGCCAUCAUUUAAAGAAAGCGUAAUAGCUCACUGGUCGAGUCGGCCUGCGCGGAAGAUGUAACGGGGCUAAACUAUGCACCGAAGCUGCGGCAGCGACACUAUGUGUUGUUGGGUAGGGGAGCGUUCUGUAAGCCGUUGAAGGUGGACUGUGAGGUCUGCUGGAGGUAUCAGAAGUGCGAAUGCUGACAUAAGUAACGAUAAAGCGGGUGAAAAACCCGCUCGCCGGAAGAUCAAGGGUUCCUGUCCAACGUUAAUCGGGGCAGGGUGAGUCGACCCCUAAGGCGAGGCCGAAAGGCGUAGUCGAUGGGAAACAGGUUAAUAUUCCUGUACUUGGUGUUACUGCGAAGGGGGGACGGAGAAGGCUAGGUUAUCCGGGCGACGGUUGUCCCGGUUUAAGCGAGUAGGCUGAUAGUUUUGGUAAAUCCGGAUUAUCUUAAGGCUGAGACGUGAUGACGAGGUUCUACGGAACUGAAGUAAUUGAUGCCAUGCUUCCAGGAAAAGCCUCUAAGCUCUAGGUAACAUUGAAUCGUACCCCAAACCGACACAGGUGAUCAGGUAGAGAAUACCAAGGCGCUUGAGAGAACUCGGGUGAAGGAACUAGGCAAAAUGGUGCCGUAACUUCGGGAGAAGGCACGCUGGUGCGUAGGUGAAAGGACUUGCUCCUGGAGCUGAAACCAGUCGAAGAUACCAGCUGGCUGCAACUGUUUAUUAAAAACACAGCACUGUGCAAACACGAAAGUGGACGUAUACGGUGUGACGCCUGCCCGGUGCUGGAAGGUUAAUUGAUGGGGUUAUCCGUAAGGAGAAGCUCUUGAUCGAAGCCCCAGUAAACGGCGGCCGUAACUAUAACGGUCCUAAGGUAGCGAAAUUCCUUGUCGGGUAAGUUCCGACCUGCACGAAUGGCGUAAUGAUGGCCAGGCUGUCUCCACCCGAGACUCAGUGAAAUUGAAAUCGCUGUGAAGAUGCAGUGUACCCGCGGCAAGACGGAAAGACCCCGUGAACCUUUACUAUAGCUUGACACUGAACAUUGAGCCUUGAUGUGUAGGAUAGGUGGGAGGCUUUGAAGCGUGGACGCUAGUCUGCGUGGAGCCAACCUUGAAAUACCACCCUUUAAUGUUUGAUGUUCUAACGUAGACCCGUAAUCCGGGUUGCGGACAGUGUCUGGUGGGUAGUUUGACUGGGGCGGUCUCCUCCCAAAGAGUAACGGAGGAGCACGAAGGUUAGCUAAUCACGGUCGGACAUCGUGAGGUUAGUGCAAAGGCAUAAGCUAGCUUGACUGCGAGAGUGACAGUUCGAGCAGGUGCGAAAGCAGGUCUUAGUGAUCCGGUGGUUCUGAAUGGAAGGGCCAUCGCUCAACGGAUAAAAGGUACUCCGGGGAUAACAGGCUGAUACCGCCCAAGAGUUCAUAUCGACGGCGGUGUUUGGCACCUCGAUGUCGGCUCA
rnacentral:rRNA from 1 species